AUAAAGAAUUUCUGAACUCCCUUUGAUGCCCAAGAGCUCUCUUCUCUGUUUCUAUCCCUUUUCCCCUUCUCUCUCUUUUUCUCUUUUCUUCUAAAAAGUUUGGGUUCCUGAGAUUUCCAUGACCCCAUGUUCACCAUUGUGUCCUCAUAUGCCACUGCAUUUUGCUACAAACGAUAGAAGAGGCUUUAGAAGUUCUAUAAAUACCAAAGUUUCUUCGGGUUUUUGAGGAGUGAAAAUGCGGUCGGUUUUACACACUCAAGAUAUCCCGAUUCAGGCGGAGUACUUCAGUUGCAGAGCUUGGGACACUUCUUGGUCCACCAUACAUGACACCUAGGUGUUGAAGCCAAAUUGAAGAACACCGGCCGUCAGAACCGCUUAUCAGGUUGAUCGUUAAACCUCUUGGAGUGAUCGAUUUGGCUAAAAGCAGACGUGGAAGUCAUGGCUGCAGCCUCCCAGCUGGUACCGAACCCGAACGACUGGACUGAAGAAGUAGAGAUCAAAGCAUCGGAGCCCGGUGCAAUGAGACCACCAUGGUGCUGUUGUUGGAGAUGGUGUUGUCCAGGAAACAAAUCCUCAUUGAUCAAUGAGUUCAAAAAUGAAGAGAAGACAUCAUCGGUGCCACAGUUAAGGUCAUCGUCUUCUUCGUUGUUGCUGCUCCUCAAUCCGGUCCCGGAACCAUCCGAAUUCUGGAUAUUGGCACUGCCAUCAUUGCCAGCUGCCCCAAUCUGAUACUGAUUGUCACUCUUGAAGUUCCCAGCUUCCUUGUUGGCUGCUGCUUUUUCUGAAGGAGAAGGAUUAGGGUUGGGGUUAGGGUUAGGGUUCAUAACAGCUUUUGCCUUUGAAGAAGAAGCUUUCACAUCAACAGAUGAAUUAGGGUUCAAUGGCUUAUGGGUUCUCGGAUCUAUUCCCUGGCUGAUCAGCUUCUUGCUCAGGUGUGUGUUCCAGUAGUUUUUUAUCUCAUUAUCCGUCCGGCCCGGAAUUCUUCCGGCAAUCAAAGCCCACCUGAAACCCCAUAUCCGAAAAAACCCUAGUUAGCAUCCAAACUGCAUAUUCCUGCUCAAACCGUACGUCAAAAACCAAAACCAAAACCCAAAUCCAAACUGCAUACAUUCAAACCCUAGAACAGAAAAAUGAAAGAAUAUAUGAGUAUAUAAGCAAAACCCUAAAGCCCGAACCCCAGUUGAAAUCCAAACUGCAUUUAAAUUCAAACAAAUCACUGUGGAGAUUGCAGCUCUGCAGCCAAUACACAAACCCUAACCUGUUGCCGAGAAGUCGGUGGAGGCGGAGAAUGAGAUCCUCUUCAUCGGGGGCGAUCUGGCCGCGCUUGACGGAAGGGCGGAGGUAGUUCAUCCAGCGGAGGCGACAGCUCUUGCCGCAGCGGAGGAGACCGGCGCGCUUCGGGAGGGUGCGCCACCGGCCUUCUCCUUCUUUCUUGAUGUAAUUGGCCAGAACCUCGUCUUCCUCCGGCGUCCAUGGCCCCCUCUUCAAUCCAACCUUGAUGCAGCAUGGUGUUUUUGAAGAAGAUGAAGGUGGAGCUGAUGCUGAAGAUGCAUUCCUCAUCUUUCUUUCUUCUUUCUCUCUCGUCUUCUCUUUUCCUCUCUUUUUUUUUUUCUUUUUUCUCUCACUGAUAGAGCUGAUAUUGGAUUCACCUCUCCCUGCCUCUCUCCGCUGUACGUUGUUGUUGUUGGUAGUGUGUACAAAGGAUACCUAUCCUCACGCUCGCUUGGACAGCGAGAAAUAACGCGCGGAAAAUUUCUUUUCUUUUCCCGGAAAA